UUCCUGCACGGCGCUGAGCCUCAGGCAUCCCCGCCUCCGCCCCGCCCACACGGGCCACGGGGCUCCGCCCAGGCCACGCCCCCGCUCCGGAGCCGGUUUAAAUCCCGCCGGUAAAUAACCGAUGGGUCGACUGGACUGGCGGUCUUCGCGCCUAACCGAACCGAUUUCUUGCCAAAGGUCACAGAAGAGAAUUUUGUACUAGGACAGCUGGAGAAGUGCUUCCGUUUAGAGGUAACAAGCAGUUGGGGGACCAGCAGAGAUACUCACGUUUCACUUUUCAGGGCUGGAUCAGGCCAACCCUUGCUUCUCCAAGAGUGGUUACCAACAGGCAGUAUGGGCCUCACGCUGGAGGGAGCUGAGCUUGCUGGAAAUGCAGGAUCUCAGACGCCACCCCUGAUUGGCUGAACGAGGAUCUGCAGUUUAACAAGAUCACCAGGAGAUUCUGAUAAAAGCCAGCAUGUCCUCUAGUGAGACUGACAAUUUUGUGAGCACAGAGCCGGGAAAAGGCAGCAAACCAAAGUGAACAGUCAGCUAAGUAGAGUUUGCUGGAGAUUUACGCAGAAACCUACCCACAGAAGCAGGGCUGAUGGAUUUAUAACAGGGGCGGGAUAAUUUGUUCUUGUGUGCGAAGAUAAGGGUAAACAUAUUUCAUGCUGUGAUGUAAGCCCCUAUCUGCAGAAGUCAGGAGAGAUUCCCUGCCCUGUUGCUGAAUCGUGUGCUUGACAAAUUAUCCUCAGAAGCUUAUUUUAUCUGGAGGUGUCACUGGGGCCCAAAUGUGAAAGGUGGAAGGACAUGCCUGGGGGCAGAGGAGGGGGACUCUUCUGUCCCUGCACAUCUGGAAGCUCAGAAAUGAAAGUGGCACGGGUCUAUAGUAUUUGGAAAAUCCUGGAGAGGAGCUGGGAUGGAAGCGAGUAACUGUGUGAUCCCUGGGCCUGAUUGAGGAAAUAUGCCAGGAAACAUGUGUUCCCAUUUCAGCCCAUCUUGGCCUUGGUCCAGCAGUCGUACCCACCCUAGACCUGCCUCUGCCCUUUAUUUUGUCAACAGCAGGUAGAUAAAGUGCUCUCAGUUUCCAGAGCUUCUCAUCACACUUCCUGGGAAGGAAGCCCUUACUGAGCUCUAGGAACUGGCUGGCUGUCUCCACCACACCUCUAGAGGACAAAGGCGGAGUCUUGAUAAUCUUUGUAUCCCUUAUGUGUAAAUUUUCUAUAUGUGCUAAAAAUGUUUACAGAAAUAAGAAAGAAAGCUGGAGCUCUGAGAGUGAACCUCUUUAAGAAAUACAGGAAUGUAACUUAAAUUUUGCAAAAUUAUCAUUAUCCUAUAAUAUUUACUAUUUGGUGUUCUGCCAUUUUAAAAAUAAUUCUAAUUAAUCUGUAAGUAAUUAUUAUUAUCCCACUUUACAGAUAUUGAAACUGAGGGUCCAGAGCCAAGAAAACACAGAUCUCAUGUAAUGAAGCCAGGACUCAAACCUACUACUGUUAGAUGUCCAACCCCACUUUGUCCAAGCUGAUGCUAGACUCAUGAUCCCAGGCCCUCCAUGUUCCUUUGGGGACUUCCCUGAGCCUAGGCCUGGGCCCCAUGUUUCCCAUUUGUAAAACUGGGGGAGGGAUGGACUAGGAUCCCACAGGCUGCUUGUCAGUGGGUGUCAGAAGUGCAGGAGAAGAAGGUGAGCAGCCCGGGACGCUGGGCUUUAAGGCUUGAGCAAUGUCAAGUGGGAGUCCCCAGUAAAUUGAGAUGUUGCCACACAGACUUGGGCAUGAGAAAAACUAACAGAGAGCCAGUCACUAUCACAAGGGCUUCAAGGGGCAAAUUCAACCCAGGUAUCAGAAGUCCAGUCUAAGACUGAUGAGUGACCAGGCUGGCGGGAGAGAAAACAGGUUGAUCCCCAAAGAUGUGUGUGGCCACAGUUGUGUGGAGAGUAAGGCCAGACACACAUGCACGCACAUAUGCACACCCACACAUGGAUACAGCCAUCAAGAGAGCAUCUGUGUGCAGCCAGAGAUACAAGAGACAGGAUAAGAUUCUUUUAUGUUGCAGGUAACAUCGCCCCGACUCUCAGGCUUCCCCUACGUAGGACUUGGCAGGUGAUUAAAGUCUCUUAUUAGUCUUAUUCGUCAUACUUUCCAUAUUCCUGGUGCAGACAGGAUGUAUAAUAUAUUACAUUUUAUGGAAAACAAAGGAUGAGAUAGGUAAUAUAUAUACAUAUUCAUGUUUUUUUCCCAUGAUUUUUCCACAUAUAGACUAUUUCUGUAAGUUUACCCGAAAAGCUUAUAAGCAUGGUUGCCUCUGAGUAGGGAUCUAAGGACCAGAGUUGGGAAAGAGAGUAACUUUGCAUUACAUUCCCUUUUAUAAUAUUUGAACCUUUUAAUCAUAGAUAUGGAUUCCUUAUUCAAAACAAUAAACUGUUAAAAAAUACACACACACACAAAAACAAUGUUCCCGUGUCUGUCUUAUACUCCGAUGUUUCUGAAUUGGUUCCUGUGAGUGAAUGAUUGUUUCUGAAUGUGAUUAAUUCUGAGAGUAUUUAUCAUACGGUUGGAGGCUGUUUAUGGUUCAAUGGAGAAGAGAGGAUUGAUGGAAGACCCUUGGAGGUGAAGAGGAUGGAAACGCCCUAGAGGAGGGAAAUUCCUCCAGCCCCAGCCAGGAAAGGCCAUAUUAACCACCAGGGAGUGAUGAGUGUCAGUAAUUCCAGUAAAUCAGUUAAGAAA